rnacentral:rRNA from 1 species
UGGCGGAUGGGCAUGCGUCGCAUUAGUUAGUUGGCGGUGUAACGGACCACCAAGACGACGAUGCGUAGGGGUUCUGAGAGGAAGGUCCCCCACACUGGUACUGAGACACGGACCAGACUCCUACGGGAGGCAGCAGUGAGGAAUAUUGGUCAAUGGGCGGGAGCCUGAACCAGCCAAGUCGCGUGAGGGAUGACGGCCCUAUGGGUUGUAAACCUCUUUUGCCGGGGAGCAAAGUGCCGCACGUGUGCGGUUUGGAGAGUACCCGGAGAAAAAGCAUCGGCUAACUCCGUGCCAGCAGCCGCGGUAAUACGGAGGAUGCGAGCGUUAUCCGGAUUUAUUGGGUUUAAAGGGUGCGUAGGCGGACGCUUAAGUCAGCGGUAAAAUUGCGGGGCUCAACCUCGUCGAGCCGUUGAAACUGGGUGCCUUGAGUGGGCGAGAAGUACGCGGAAUGCGUGGUGUAGCGGUGAAAUGCAUAGAUAUCACGCAGAACUCCGAUUGCGAAGGCAGCGUACCGGCGCCCAACUGACGCUGAAGCACGAAGGCGUGGGUAUCGAACAGGAUUAGAUACCCUGGUAGUCCACGCAGUAAACGAUGAAUGCUAGUUGUCCGGGGCGAUUGAGUUCUGG